rnacentral:rRNA from 1 species
CUAUAAUGCAAGUCGAGCGAACAGAUAAGGAGCUUGCUCCUUUGACGUUAGCGGCGGACGGGUGAGUAACACGUGGGUAACCUACCUAUAAGACUGGAAUAACUCCGGGAAACCGGGGCUAAUGCCGGAUAACAUUUAGAACCGCAUGGUUCUAAAGUGAAAGAUGGUUUUGCUAUCACUUAUAGAUGGACCCGCGCCGUAUUAGCUAGUUGGUAAGGUAACGGCUUACCAAGGCAACGAUACGUAGCCGACCUGAGAGGGUGAUCGGCCACACUGGAACUGAGACACGGUCCAGACUCCUACGGGAGGCAGCAGUAGGGAAUCUUCCGCAAUGGGCGAAAGCCUGACGGAGCAACGCCGCGUGAGUGAUGAAGGUCUUCGGAUCGUAAAACUCUGUUAUUAGGGAAGAACAAAUGUGUAAGUAACUGUGCACGUCUUGACGGUACCUAAUCAGAAAGCCACGGCUAACUACGUGCCAGCAGCCGCGGUAAUACGUAGGUGGCAAGCGUUAUCCGGAAUUAUUGGGCGUAAAGCGCGCGUAGGCGGUUUCUUAAGUCUGAUGUGAAAGCCCACGGCUCAACCGUGGAGGGUCAUUGGAAACUGGGAAACUUGAGUGCAGAAGAGGAAAGUGGAAUUCCAUGUGUAGCGGUGAAAUGCGCA